UACAGAGGUGGCAAGCGUUAAUCGGAAUUACUGGGCGUAAAGCGUGCGCAGGCGGUUAUGUAAGACAGGUGUGAAAUCCCCGGGCUUAACCUGGGAACUGCAUUUGUGACUGCAUAGCUAGAGUACGGUAGAGGGGGAUGGAAUUCCGCGUGUAGCAGUGAAAUGCGUAGAUAUGCGGAGGAACACCGAUGGCGAAGGCAAUCCCCUGGACCUGUACUGACGCUCAUGCACGAAAGCGUGGGGAGCAAACAGG
rnacentral:rRNA from 1 species